rnacentral:rRNA from 1 species
UACGUAGGGUGCGAGCGUUAAUCGGAAUUACUGGGCGUAAAGCGUGCGCAGGCGGUCUGUUAAGACCGAUGUGAAAUCCCCGGGCUUAACCUGGGAACUGCAUUGGUGACUGGCAGGCUUUGAGUGUGGCAGAGGGAGGUAGAAUUCCACGUGUAGCAGUGAAAUGCGUAGAGAUGUGGAGGAAUACCGAUGGCGAAGGCAGCCUUUUGGGCCAACACUGACGCUCAUGCACGAAAGCGUGGGGAGCAAACAGG